rnacentral:rRNA from 2 species
AGAGUUUGAUCAUGGCUCAGAUUGAACGCUGGCGGCAGGCCUAACACAUGCAAGUCGAGCGGAAACGAGUUAUCUGAACCUUCGGGGGACGAUAACGGCGUCGAGCGGCGGACGGGUGAGUAAUGCCUAGGAAAUUGCCCUGAUGUGGGGGAUAACCAUUGGAAACGAUGGCUAAUACCGCAUAAUGCCUACGGGCCAAAGAGGGGACCUUCGGGCCUCUCGCGUCAGGAUAUGCCUAGGUGGGAUUAGCUAGUUGGUGAGGUAAUGGCUCACCAAGGCGACGAUCCCUAGCUGGUCUGAGAGGAUGAUCAGCCACACUGGAACUGAGACACGGUCCAGACUCCUACGGGAGGCAGCAGUGGGGAAUAUUGCACAAUGGGCGCAAGCCUGAUGCAGCCAUGCCGCGUGUGUGAAGAAGGCCUUCGGGUUGUAAAGCACUUUCAGUCGUGAGGAAGGUAGUGUAGUUAAUAGCUGCAUUAUUUGACGUUAGCGACAGAAGAAGCACCGGCUAACUCCGUGCCAGCAGCCGCGGUAAUACGGAGGGUGCGAGCGUUAAUCGGAAUUACUGGGCGUAAAGCGCAUGCAGGUGGUUUGUUAAGUCAGAUGUGAAAGCCCGGGGCUCAACCUCGGAAUAGCAUUUGAAACUGGCAGACUAGAGUACUGUAGAGGGGGGUAGAAUUUCAGGUGUAGCGGUGAAAUGCGUAGAGAUCUGAAGGAAUACCGGUGGCGAAGGCGGCCCCCUGGACAGAUACUGACACUCAGAUGCGAAAGCGUGGGGAGCAAACAGGAUUAGAUACCCUGGUAGUCCACGCCGUAAACGAUGUCUACUUGGAGGUUGUGGCCUUGAGCCGUGGCUUUCGGAGCUAACGCGUUAAGUAGACCGCCUGGGGAGUACGGUCGCAAGAUUAAAACUCAAAUGAAUUGACGGGGGCCCGCACAAGCGGUGGAGCAUGUGGUUUAAUUCGAUGCAACGCGAAGAACCUUACCUACUCUUGACAUCCAGAGAACUUUCCAGAGAUGGAUUGGUGCCUUCGGGAACUCUGAGACAGGUGCUGCAUGGCUGUCGUCAGCUCGUGUUGUGAAAUGUUGGGUUAAGUCCCGCAACGAGCGCAACCCUUAUCCUUGUUUGCCAGCGAGUAAUGUCGGGAACUCCAGGGAGACUGCCGGUGAUAAACCGGAGGAAGGUGGGGACGACGUCAAGUCAUCAUGGCCCUUACGAGUAGGGCUACACACGUGCUACAAUGGCGCAUACAGAGGGCAGCAAGCUAGCGAUAGUGAGCGAAUCCCAAAAAGUGCGUCGUAGUCCGGAUUGGAGUCUGCAACUCGACUCCAUGAAGUCGGAAUCGCUAGUAAUCGUGGAUCAGAAUGCCACGGUGAAUACGUUCCCGGGCCUUGUACACACCGCCCGUCACACCAUGGGAGUGGGCUGCAAAAGAAGUAGGUAGUUUAACCUUCGGGAGGACGCUUACCACUUUGUGGUUCAUGACUGGGGUGAAGUCGUAACAAGGUAGCGCUAGGGGAACCUGGCGCUGGAUCACCU